GAAGGCAUCUAAGCGGGAAGCCUGUUCCAAGAUGAGGUAUCCCACCCCCUUUGAGGGGUUAAGGCCCCCAACAGACCAUUGGGUUGAUAGGCCAGAAAUGGACGCACAGUAAUGUGUUAUCGAGUUGACUGGUACUAAUAGGCCGAGGGCUUGCCCAC
rnacentral:rRNA from 1 species